rnacentral:rRNA from 1 species
CUUCGGGCGCGAAACAAGGUGCUGCAUGGUUGUCGUCAGCUCGUGCCGUGAGGUGUUGGGUUAAGUCCCGCAACGAGCGCAACCCUUAUCACUAGUUGCCAGCAUUUAAGGUGGGGACUCUAGUGAGACUGCCGGCGUAAGCCGUGAGGAAGGUGGGGACGACGUCAAAUCAUCAUGGCCUUUAUGCCUAGGGCUACACACGUGCUACAAUGGCGAGUACAGAGGGUAGCGAAGCCGCAAGGUGGAGCCAAUCUCAUAAAACUCGUCCCAGUUCGGAUUGAAGUCUGGAACUCGACUUCAUGAAGGUGGAAUCGCUAGUAAUCGCGCAUCAGCCAUGGCGCGGUGAAUACGUUCCCGGACCUUGUACACACC